rnacentral:misc_RNA from 1 species
GAAAUGCGAUACGUAAUGUGAAUUGCAGAAUUCAGUGAAUCAUCGAGUCUUUGAACGCACAUUGCGCCCCCUGGUAUUCCGGGGGGCAUGCCUGUCCGAGCGUCAUUGCUGCCCUCAAGCACGGCUUGUGUGUUGGGCCCCCGUCCCCCCCCAAGAGGACGGGCCCGAAAGGCAGCGGCGGCACCGUGUCCGGUCCUCGAGCGUAUGGGAAGCAACUUUUUGUCACCCGCUCCUGUAGGUCCGGCCGGCGACCUGCCCAACCCCAACCUUUUUUUCAACCAGGUUGACCUCGGAUCAGGUAGGGAUACCCGCUGAACUUAAGC